UAUCAAUGGCCUCCAAGCCAGCACCAAUGAAAAGACCUACUGGCAGUUCCUCAGUGGCAAAGAACCCCUUGAACAAGGUGUUGGCAGCUACAAACCAAAAGAUAAUGAGCAAAUUGUGGCCAAUUUCACUAAAUACUGAGUUAUCACUUACAAUACGACCUAGGACUAAGAUUCAAGGCUGCUUUGUAUCAGAAGAUCCCCCUUCCAGACAAAAAGAUAUGGCAAGAUGACAAUAAAAAUGCUGAUUUGACAUGUGC